UACGGAGGGGGCUAGUGUUGUUCGGAAUUACUGGGCGUAAAGCGUACGUAGGCGGCUUUGUAAGUUAGAGGUGAAAGCCCGGGGCUCAACUCCGGAACUGCCUUUAAGACUGCAUCGCUAGAACGUCGGAGAGGUGAGUGGAAUUCCGAGUGUAGAGGUGAAAUUCGUAGAUAUUCGGAAGAAACACCAGUGGCGAAGGCGACUCACUGGACGACUGUUGACGCUGAGGUACGGAAAAGCGAUGGGG
rnacentral:rRNA from 1 species